rnacentral:rRNA from 1 species
CAGCCGCCGCGGUAAUACGUAGGUCCCGAGCGUUGUUCGGAAUUACUGGGCGUAAAGCGCACGUAGGCGGAUAUUUAAGUCAGGGGUGAAAUCCCAGAGCUCAACUCUGGAACUGCCUUUGAUACUGGGUAUCUUGAGUAUGGAAGAGGUGAGUGGAAUUCCGAGUGUAGAGGUGAAAUUCGUAGAUAUUCGGAAGAACACCAGUGGCGAAGGCGGCUCACUGGACGACUGUUGACGCUGAGGUACGAAAGCGUGGGGAGCAAACAGGAUUAGAUACCCCCGUAGUCCCUGUCUCUUAUAC